AUUAUUUUUUGUGAGGAAAGUCCGAACAUCCAAAGUACAGGGCCGCUUGGGAAAGCCAAGUGCGUGCGAGCGUGAGGAAAGUGCCACAGAAAAGUAGACUACAAAAUUUAUUUUGUACAGGUGCAACGGUGAGGUAAAAGCUCACCGCCGCUUUUGUGAAAAAGCGGGUCAUGGUAAACCCCGGCCGGAUGCAAGUUCGAGUUUGCAAGAAGAAUUGUACUUUUCGCUUAAUUUUUUUAAGAUUGCAAGAAAAGAACGCAUUAGACAGAUGAUUACCUUAAACAGAAUUCGGCUUACAGCCUGCUUUU
rnacentral:RNase_P_RNA from 1 species